UGGGGAAUAUUGCACAAUGGGCGAAAGCCUGAUGCAGCGACGCCGCGUGAGGGAUGACGGCCUUCGGGUUGUAAACCUCUUUCAGCAGGGACGAAGCGCAAGUGACGGUACCUGCAGAAGAAGCACCGGCUAACUACGUGCCAGCAGCCGCGGUAAUACGGAGGGUGCAAGCGUUGUCCGGAAUUACUGGGCGUAAAGAGUUCGUAGGCGGCUUGUCGCGUCGUUUGUGAAAACCAGCAGCUCAACUGCUGGCUUGCAGGCGAUACGGGCAGACUUGAGUGCGGCAGGGGAGACUGGAAUUCCUGGUGUAGCGGUGAAAUGCGCAGAUAUCAGGAGGAACACCGGUGGCGAAGGCGGGUCUCUGGGCAGUAACUGACGCUGAGGAACGAAAGCGUGGGUAGCGAACAGG
rnacentral:rRNA from 1 species